GACGAACGCUGGCGGCGUGCUUAACACAUGCAAGUCGAACGGAAAGGCCCUGCUUUUGUGGGGUGCUCGAAUGGCGAACGGGUGAGUAACACGUGAGUAACCUGCCCUUGACUUAGGGAUAACUUCAGGAAACUGGGGCUAAUACCGGAUAGGAGCUCCAGCUGCAUGGUGGGGGUUGGAAAGUUUGGGCGGUUGGGGAUGGACGCGCGGGUUAACAGCUUGUUGGUGGGGGAGUGGCUUACCAAGGCUUUGACGGGUAGCCGGCCUGGGAGGGUGACCGGCCACAUUGGGACUGAGGUACGGCCCAGACGCGUACGUGAGGCAGCAGUGGGGAGUAUUGCGCAGUGGCCGGACGCCUGAUGCGACGACGCCGCGUGCGUGAUGACGGCCUUCGAGUGAUGAACCGCUUUCGCCUGUACCGAUGCGUGAGUGACGGUAAUGAAUAAAGAAGCACCGGCUAACUACGUG
rnacentral:rRNA from 1 species